rnacentral:lncRNA from 1 species
AUCAGGGAUGGGAAAGGGAGGCCGAGAAGGAAGCGGAUCCACGGCCGCACAGCUAAACAGCAACCCCCUACCCGCUUCGUCUCCCUCCGCCGCUAUCGGGGCCUAAGCGGGAGCGGCUGGCACGGCGUCACUGGGAAUGUCGGAUUGCACAUCCUAUUGUAAAAUGUACUUACUGCAGAUCAGAAUUUCAACAAGAGAGCAAAACUAACACAAUUUGUAAGAAGUGUGCUCAAAAUGUGAAGCAAUUUGGGACGCCCAAGCCUUGUCAGUACUGUAACAUAAUUGCAGCAUUUAUUGGUACCAAGUGUCAGCGUUGCACAAAUUCAGAAAAAAAGUAUGGACCACCUCAGACCUGUGAACAGUGCAAACAGCAAUGUGCUUUUGAUCGGAAGGAGGAAGGAAGAAGAAAGGUUGAUGGAAAGUUAUUAUGCUGGCUCUGUACUUUAUCGUACAAAAGAGUUUUACAGAAGACGAAAGAACAAAGGAAGAGCCUGGGAUCUUCACAUUCAAAUUCAUCUUCUUCAUCUCUUACUGAGAAAGACCAGCAUCAUCCAAAACAUCAUCACCACCAUCAUCACCAUCACCAUCGUCACAGCAGUAGCCAUCACAAAAUCAGCAAUCUAAGUCCAGAAGAAGAGCAGGGACUGUGGAAACAGAGCCAUAAAUCCUCUGCAACAAUUCAGAAUGAAACUCCAAAGAAAAAGCCCAAAUUGGAAUCUAAGCCAUCUAAUGGAGAUAGUAGCUCUAUAAAUCAGUCAGCAGAUAGUGGGGGAACAGACAAUUUUGUCCUUAUAAGUCAAUUGAAAGAAGAAGUGAUGUCACUUAAGCGUCUCUUACAGCAGAGAGACCAGACCAUUUUAGAAAAAGAUAAAAAGUUAACUGAACUAAAGGCAGACUUUCAGUACCAAGAGUCAAAUUUGAGAACAAAAAUGAACAGUAUGGAAAAAGCCCACAAAGAAACUGUGGAACAACUUCAGGUAACUACCAUCAUUUACGUAAAAUGAUAGGCAAGAAGGGCUAAACUUGAGUAAUAGCAUUCAUUGAC